rnacentral:rRNA from 1 species
UACGGGGGGAGCAAGCGUUGUUCGGAUUUACUGGGCGUAAAGGGCGCGUAGGCGGUCGUGACAAGUCACUUGUGAAAUCUCCGGGCUUAACUCGGAACGGUCAAGUGAUACUGUCGGACUAGAGUACAGAAGGGGCAACUGGAAUUCUCGGUGUAGCGGUGAAAUGCGUAGAUAUCGAGAGGAACACCUGCGGCGAAGGCGGGUUGCUGGGCUGAUACUGACGUGAGGAGCGAAAGCGUGGGGAGCAGACAGG